rnacentral:rRNA from 1 species
UACAGAGGGGGCAAGCGUUGUUCGGAAUUACUGGGCGUAAAGGGCGCGUAGGCGGCCUGCUAAGUCGAACGUGAAAUCCCCGGGCUCAACCCGGGAACUGCGUCCGAUACUGGCAGGCUUGAAUUCGGGAGAGGGAUGCGGAAUUCCAGGUGUAGCGGUGAAAUGCGUAGAGAUCUGGAGGAACACCGAUGGCGAAGGCAGCCUUCUGGGCCAACACUGACGCUCAUGCACGAAAGCGUGGGGAGCAAACAGG